rnacentral:rRNA from 1 species
AGCAGUAGCCGCGGUAAUACGAAGGGGGCUAGCGUUGUUCGGAUUUACUGGGCGUAAAGGGCGCGUAGGCGGGCUGAUAAGUCAGGUGUGAAAUCUCAGAGCUUAACUCUGAAACUGCGCUUGAUACUGCUUGGCUAGAGGAUCGGAGGGGGUAACGGAAUUUAUGGUGUAGCAGUGAAAUGCGUAGAUAUCAUAAGGAACACCGGUGGCGAAGGCGGUUACCUGGAAGAUUCCUGACUCUGAAACACGAAAGCCAGGGGAGCAAACGGGAUUAGAUACCCGGGUAGUCCCUGUCUCUUAUAC